rnacentral:rRNA from 1 species
UGGGGAAUAUUGCACAAUGGGCGCAAGCCUGAUGCAGCCAUGCCGCGUGUAUGAAGAAGGCCUUCGGGUUGUAAAGUACUUUCAGCGGGGAGGAAGGGAGUAAAGUUAAUACCUUUGCUCAUUGACGUUACCCGCAGGAGAAGCACCGGCUAACUCCGUGCCAGCAGCCGCGGUAAUACGGAGGGUGCAAGCGUUAAUCGGAAUUACUGGGCGUAAAGCGCACGCAGGCGGUUUGUUAAGUCAGAUGUGAAAUCCUCGGGCUCAACCUGGGAACUGCAUCUGAUACUGGCAAGCUUGAGUCUCGUAGAGGGGGGUAGAAUUCCAGGUGUAGCGGUGAAAUGCGUAGAGAUCUGGAGGAAUACCGGUGGCGAAGGCGGCCCCCUGGACGAAGACUGACGCUCAGGUGCGAAAGCGUGGGGAGCAAACAGG